GUCUAGGUGCCGGAGUGGUUAACGGGUAACCCUGCUAUCAUCAGUAGUACAGGUUAUGGCUUCGGCCGCGCAGGUUCGAAUCCUGUCCUAGACG